CCAUCCCCAGCCCUAUUUUGUAUUUUAUUUAGAGACAGGGUCUCACUGAGUUGCUUAGCCCCUGCUUUUGCUGAGGCCGUCCUCCUGCCUCAGCCUCCUGAGCUACUGGGAUUACAGGCGUGCAGCUACCAAACCCAGCCUGAGCCCUUCUUCAUCCUCAGGUCAUGACCUCGGAGAAGUUCUCGGCGUCCCCUCGGGCCAGCGUCACGUACUCCUUGGGGCGGUCGGACUUCAUACCCGCGCAGAAGACCUAGGGAGGCCGGAGGAGGCCGUGGGGAGCGGCUCGGGGACACAGGACGGAUGGGUCCCCAAACACGGCUCCCGGACAACACUCACCUUCAGGGGUUUCCCCCUGAUGAUCAGGAAGUACUCGCCGUCGUCUCUGGCACCGAUCAGCGGGACAUAAGUGGCUGGGCUGGUCCUCGUUGGUUAAACACUGCACCGAUCUGCUCAUCACCCCGACGCCGCAAGACACGGAGCACUGCGAGGGAAACCAGGGUCAGCAGGAGGCUGUCAACCCAGGCUGGCAUGGGCUUCUGGCCGGGCGGGGCUCAGAGCCCUGACGUCACGGGCAGGGUGACCAUUCAGACCCCGUAUGGAUGACAAGCAGCCGGCAUGUGCUGAGCACUCACUAUGGACCAGUCUCUGUGCUAAGCCUUAGACAUACACAUUUUAGCUUUCUGCAUAGGUAUGCAACAUACCCAGGAAACACUUUUACACAUGUGUAAAAUUACAUGUGAUUAUAUGCAUACAUACAUUUUUUUUUUUUAAAUUCAGGCUGCACAGUAGUCCUGUGAGAUAGGACUACCAUUGCCCUGUUUUUACAGAUGAGAGAUUGAAGCUGAAAUGUUAGGGAAUUUGUUAAUGUCAUGGUGAGGCCAGGAUUCAAAUGCUAACCACUUACUCUAACCAUCUUAUACUUGUGUGUGUAUGUUGGACACAGGGCAUUGAACCCAGGGAGCUGUACCAUUAAGCUACAGUCCCAGCGCCCUGCCCCUUUUUAAUUUUAAAACUUGCUGAGUUGCUGAGGCUGGCUUUGAACUUGUGAUCCUCCUGCCUCAGCCUCCUGAGCUGCUGGGAUUACAGGCGUGAGCUACUGGGUCUGGCACAAGUCACCACAUACUUGUGCCUAAUCACCUUUCAGGAAUGGGAGUCUCAUAGCCCAGGCAGGCGGCUGCAGCAGUUCUCCAGCAGGGCCAACUCAGUUCAAAGUCCUCUGCCUUGUUGAACCCGUAACACCAUGACAUACUCCCAACACAGGACAACAAGAACCUACAGACUCCCUGAGAACAGAGGCUGCAAGACAUAGCUGCUACCGUCAGUAACUCCUGCCAAGGGCCAGACUCCAAGUGCUUUUCAUGUUGUUUUAUUUUUAAAGUCCUGGGGAUCAAACCCAGAGCCUUGUGCAUGUUAGGCAAGCUCUUCAGCACUGGGAGACUCCCCCAGCCCUCCUUUGAAAGGAAAGGGUAGUAAGUGGGGCACGGUGGCACACCUGUCACCCCAGCAGCUAAGGAGGCUGAGGCAGGAGGAUCCUGAGUUCAAAGCCAGCCUCAGCAGCUUAAUGAGGCCCUAAGCAACUCAGUGAGACCCUGUCUCUAAAUAAAGUACAAAAUAGGGCUGGGGAUGUGGCUCAGUGGUUAAGUGCCCCUGGGUUCAAUCCCUGGUACCAAAA